UGGGGUAGUCGCUCAGUUGGUAGAGCAAAUGACUUUUAAUGCAUGUUGUCCGGGGUUCAAUUCCCCGGUAAGCCAGCCA
rnacentral:tRNA from 1 species